AUAUGCUCAAGAGCUAAUCGAACAUUUUGUCAUGUGCUGUGCUGACCUGUAUGGCAAGACCUUUCCUGUAUACAAUGUACAUGGACUAAUUCAUCUCCAAGAGGAUGCCAGCCACUUCAACUGUUCCUUGAAUGACAUUUCUUGUUUUCCAUUUGAGAACUACCUACAACAAGUCAAGAAACAUGUGAGGAGCGGGAGAAGUCCCUUAGAACAAGUAACCAGACGUUUGGCUGAAAUCGAGCAUUCAGAAGUGGACAAUAGCCAGAGACACCCUAAAGUGUUUGCCUCUGUUAAAAAUAAGGACAGUUGUUUUCUUUUGAGGGACAACAGCUUUGCUUUUGUUCGACAGAAAAAUGCAGACGGGACGUUUGCUUGUGAAAUUCUGUGCCAGCAUCACACUUCACUAUUAUUUCACCAACCGUGUAGCUCUGGACUGCUGAACAUAGUGUGCAUAGGAAAUGGUCAUGUCAGGAUGAAAAACGCACUACUGCAAGAAAGGGAUCUGUUCCGGAAGGUGGCCUGCCUCCCACAAGAAGCUGGUGGUUUUGUCCUCAUACCCCUUCGCCAUGGUCGGGAACACGCAUAUUAAGGUGCUGCAAAUUUCAAGAAUUGGUGGGCGGAACACCAAGGACUGUGCCCACAAAGUGUUGGACAGAAGGGCUCAUGAAAUUCGAUCCCACAGCCACCGAGGAGAACAUCAAGGCGAACGUGUCCGAAAG